rnacentral:rRNA from 1 species
AGUGAACGCUGGCGGUAGGCCUAACACAUGCAAGUCGAACGGCAGCACAGUAAGAGCUUGCUCUUACGGGUGGCGAGUGGCGGACGGGUGAGGAAUACAUCGGAAUCUACUUUUUCGUGGGGGAUAACGUAGGGAAACUUACGCUAAUACCGCAUACGACCUACGGGUGAAAGCAGGGGAUCUUCGGACCUUGCGCGAUUGAAUGAGCCGAUGUCGGAUUAGCUAGUUGGCGGGGUAAAGGCCCACCAAGGCGACGAUCCGUAGCUGGUCUGAGAGGAUGAUCAGCCACACUGGAACUGAGACACAGUCCAGACUCCUACGGGAGGCAGCAGUGGGGAAUAUUGGACAAUGGGCGCAAGCCUGAUCCAGCCAUACCGCGUGGGUGAAGAAGGCCUUCGGGUUGUAAAGCCCUUUUGUUGGGAAAGAAAAGCAGCAGGUUAAUACCCCGCUGUUCCGACGGUACCCAAAGAAUAAGCACCGGCUAACUUCGUG